UUUGGAUUUGGGACAUUUUCUUCCCUGGAAGAGGCCAGGGGAUUUGAACUUUGAAAUGCAGAGCUUUGCCACAAAAGUAUUAUUAUGACAAGGUGAAAGUUCCAGGGGAGUGGAAGGCACUAACCUCUGGGGCCUUACAGAACAACGUAGGGCUGAACUGACUCUGUAGAGGCUGUAUGAGGUCCCUGUAGCUGCUGUAACAAAUGCCCACAAACUGAGUGGCUCAAAACAACAGACAUUUCUUCUCUCACAGUUCUGGGGGCCAGAAGUCCAAAAUCAAGGUGUCAACAGGGUCACGUUCCCUCCAAAAGGUCUAGGAAAGAAUCUGAUCCUUGCCUCUUCCAGAUUCUGGUGGCUCCACGCAUUUCUUGGAUUGUGGCCCCAUCACUCCAAUUUCUGCCUCCAUCUUCAUAUUGCCUCCGCCUCUUCUGUAUGUGUCAAAUCUCCCUUUGCCUCUGUCUUAUAAGGACAGUUGUGAUGGCAUAUACAACCCACCUAGAUAAUCUAGGACAAUCUCCCCAACCCAAGGUCCUUAACUUAAUCACAUCUGCAAAGACCCUAUUUCCUCAUAAGUUCACAUUCACAGGUUCUAAGGAUUAUCUGAUAUCUUUGGGGGAUAGCAUUCAGGUGACCACAGGUGCAUCAUUCCACCUGUUGCCACAGUUCCCUUUUCUAAUCAUAUAGAAGAGGUGGAGUCAGAGCAGUUAAGGAGGGUUCAGUUCACAGGGAGGCAUAUGUUAGAUUUCCAUCCAUUUAAAGCACCAACAAGUGUAGACCCAGGCCAAGUUUUGAGCAAGGCUUUUCGUUCCAGACCCCGCCUUCAAUCUAGAAAGGGGCACAACGUCAGUGGAGAGCCCUAGCCUGUGCCUGCUUGCUCCCUCCCCACUGGGGCGGUGAGUCUAAUUUCUGUUGGGUUUUCCUGAGCCUGGGCAGCUGGCGGAGAGGGGCCAUUUCUCAUCUGCUAUGGCUGGCAAGGGCUCAGACUCCCCCAUCAGUAGCUCCGAGAUCCUAGCCAUUCCUGUCUCUGACUAGAGCCCUGAUCUAAGACGACUCAGUGUUGCCUCCCCAGGCUCUUGCACUCAGCUCACGUUUGGGCUGAACUCACCUCACCUGGAGGCCACCUGUGGGAAGCCUAUGGGCUCCUGAGAUGGAGGCUGAGUUUUGGGGUUAGGAAGAUCCCAUAAGGAAUCCUGAUUUUGCCCUUCAUUUGGUCCUUCUCUCAUUCAUUGGAUGAAAUUUACCAGAUAGGCUUGAGCUAGGCUUUGGGGAUACAGGGCUGAGCCAGGGUCACCACGGUCCAGCCAUCGAAAUGGGAGCAAUCUCUCAGCACCGUGACCUGCCCUGCUGCAGGCUCUGCUCCCCGUCCAUCCAUGUCAUCCCAAAACAACUGAUGUGGGAGGUCCCCACCCAGCUUCCUAGCAUCUGGACGCCUCAGUUAUUGAGUCUGUAAAACAAGGAGGGAUGGGAGUAACACCCUUGUGCUGUUGGGGGUGGGCCACGAGAAGAGAGUGUGUGUAAGGUGUGUGGCACAGAGCGGGGCUCAGAGUGAACGUUUCAGAACAAUACCAAGCAGAGGGGCAUUCCUAUUCACAUGGUAACUGGCCAAGGGCCAGCCCUAGGCUCUGACCCACAGGGAUUCCCUUUAUUAGGAAGGGGUCAAAGCUUGGAGCAGAGGCCCAGCCCCACUGUCCUGGCAGUGGGUAGGAGAUAGCUUGCUUUCACAGAGGGACCCCUGUCCCUGGAGGCCAUCACUUGGGGUUUGUCUGAAGCUGGUGGCAGGGCUGGAGGUGCCUCCACUUUGUCUAAACUCUGAUUCUGAGGCUGCUGACCCCCCAACCUUACAGAGAAGAAGCUCUUCAUCUCACCCAACCCUGACCCAAGGAAAACCAAGGCCCCAGGGCAGAGAAUCAGGGUCAGAGUUCAGUUUCUAGGCAGUCCUAUGUCUACCCUACCCAUGUCCACCUUCCUCACCAUGACCUGGGUGUUCUUGUGUCUGCAUGUCCUUACAGACAGCCUGACAGCAAUGACACAGCUUCUAGACCACCAUUAGGUGCAUGUUGAUGCAUUCGUGGAAACCAGCACCGAUGCCCAUGGAAAAGGUGGUUCCCCCACCUGGGCAGAUGGACCACAGUGUGCCUGGCCAUUGCCUCACCACUGAGGGAAGCAUCUCCUUGCUCAUUUACAUCUGCUUCCUAGGGCAGCAGAGUAUGUUUCUAUAGAACCAAAGCUGCACCUAACAGCCAUGUCUGCCAUGCAGUUCAGAUAAAAAUGUGGUCAUGCUUAGCAUACUUAAAAAAAAUAAAGGAAAAGGAAAGAAAUUCUACUACCUGCAAAGCCUGCACGCUACUAACACUCCUGCAUGUUUGUGGAGGAUGGAGCUCUCCAUUCCGUCCACUGCUGGCUUCGCCGUCCUUUCUGGAGUUCGGGUUCAUGGCUACGCUGAAGGUGUAAGUCCUAGGGGAACAAACAGAUGCUGUAAACAGAUAAGCAAUGACAUUGGGAACAAUGGAAUAUUAUUCAGCCACAAAGAGAAAUGAAGUCCUGAUACAUGCUGUAACAUGGACUAACCUUGAAAACAUUAUACUGAGUGAAAUAAGUCAGUCAUGAAAGGACAAAUAUUGUAUGAUUCCACUUAUAUGAAAUAUCUAGAAUAGACCAAAGUUUAUUAGUGGUUACCAGAGGCAGAGGUGGCACAAGACGUUAAGCACUCGGCUACUAACUGAAAAGCUGGCGGUUCAGAUCCACCCAGUGGCUCUUAAGGAUGAAGACUUGGUGAUCUACUGCCAUGAUGAUUACAGUCAAGAAAAUCCUAAGGGGGCAGUUCUGCUCUGUCACAUGUGAUGACCAUGAGUAAAAAUAGACUCUACGGCACCUAAGAACAACAACAGGGGCAGGAGGGAGGUGAGUCUUUACUUAGAGGGCAUUGAGUUUCUGCUAAUGGUGUGGAAUAAUUUUGAAAAGGAGAGUGAUAAUGGAUGCAUAAUAUGAUAAGUGUAAUCGAUGUCACUGAAUUGUACAUGUAAAAAUUGUUCCGGGUUCUCUUCUAAAUCUGGCUUAAACUUCUGGUAUUUCCCUGAUGAUGUAUAAUUGCAGUCAUUUUUCAACUAUCUGUAGCAAAAUUUUGCUAUCACGUGACACUAGUGGUGUUUUUAGAUAAUUUCCUCAAUCCGUUUGAUAGACUUUCUUUGGAAUGAGCAUGAAUGUGGAUCUCUUCCAAUCAGUUGUCCAGGUAGCUGUCUUCCAAAUUUCUUGACAUACAUGAGUAAGCGCUUCCAGUUUGGUAUCUGUUUGUUGAAGCAUCUCAAUUGGUAUUCCGUCAAUUCCUAGAGCCUUGUUUCUCAUCAAUGCCUUCAGUGAAUCUUGAACUUCUUCCUCAAGUACCAGCCGUUCUUGGUCAUAUACUGUCUCCUGAAAUGGUUGAACAUGGACCAAUUCUUUUUGCUACAGUAACUCUGUGUAUUCCUUCCAUCUUUGUUUGAUGCUCACUGUGUCACUCAAUCUUUUGCCCAUAGAAUCCUUCUGUAUUGCAACUCAAGGCUUGAAUAGUCACUUCAAGUUCUUUCAGCUUGAGAAAUGUGAGCAUGUUCUUCCCUUUUGACUUUCCAACUGUGUAUCUUUGCACAUUUCAUCAUAACACUUUAUCUUGUCUUCUUGAGCAAUCCUUUGAAAACUGUUCAUCAUUUUUUCUGUUUUCUUUAGCUACUCUGUACUUAAGAGCAAGUUUCCAAGUAUCUUCUGACAUUCAUUUUGGUCUUUUCCUCUUUUUCUGUCUCUUUAAUGAUCUUUCACUUUCUUCAUGUAUGAUGUCCUCUCACAACUCUCUUGAUUUUUGGUCAUUAGUGCUCAGCGUGUCAAAUCUAUUCUUGAGAUGGUCUCUAAGUUCGGGUGGGAUGUAUUCAAGGCUGUAUUUUGGCUCUUCUGAACUUCCUUUGAUUUUCUUCAGCUUCAACUUGAACUUGCACGUGAGUGAUUAAUGGUCUGUUUCAUAUUUGCCUCCUGGAUUUGUCUUGGCUGGUGAUGUUGAGCUUCUUCACUGUCUCUUUUCACAGAUAUAGUUGAUUCCUGUGUAAUCCAUCUGGUGAGGUCCACAUGCAUAGCCACCACUUAUGUUAUUGAACAAAAGGAUUUCUGAUUAAUAAAUCUUUGGUCUUGUAUAAUUCUAUCAUGUGAUCUCUGGCAUCAUUUCUACCAUGAAGCCCACAUUUUCCAACUACUGAUUCUUCCUCUUUGUUUCCAACCUUUGCAUCCCAAUCACCAGUAAUUAUCAAUGCAUCUUGAUUGCACAUUUGAUUAAUUUCAGCCUAUAGUAGGUUAUAAAAAUCUUGAAUUUCUCCAUCUUUGGCAUUUAUGGUUGUUGUGUUAAUUUGAAUAAUACUGUGUUAACUGGUUUUCCUUGUAUGUGUAUGUAUAGCUACCUGUCACUGACAGUGUUGUACUUCAGGAUAGAUCUUGAAAUGUUCUUUUUAAUGAUGAAUGUCAACUUCUAAUGCUGUUAUUUGAAAAUAUUUUAACAGCUGCAUAAUAUUUAACAUACGCAUAUAUCAUAAUUUGAAUAACCAUUUCCCUAAAUUGUCAGAAAUGUAGGUCGCUUCCAUUUUCAAAACUGCUUUCUAAAACCUGACAAAGAAUAUCUUUGUAUACAAACCACGAUUUCUUCCAGAAGAUGGAGUCACAGAAGGAGACUAUUUCUAAGCUUCUUCAUGCCAAUUGCUAAAUUGCUUUCUAGAAAUUUUCACUCCCAUCAGCUUUGGAGGAAUGCACCUAACUCACUAUAUGUUUCCUAGUGUUAAUACUGUUUUCAAAUAAAAAAGACAAAAAACAAGCAAACAAUUCUUAUUUGAGAGGUGAAAAUGGUGCCUAAUUUUAUUUUGCAUUUAUUGCUGAUGAACAGCAACUUUUAUUUUCCAUUUAUUUCUUAGUCAAUGCAUUUCUCUUCUGUUCUUGUCCUUUGGCCAUUUUUUCUGCAUCAGUGCUUCUCUUAGCAAUUUUUGAGUAAACUCUAUAUACGAAGACAACAGUAAGUGUCUUCUUGGUCAGUUAAAUGAAAAAGUCAGAUACAAGUCAACUGAGGGAGAAGUACUUGAGGGCUAGAUGGUGUUCAGGGACAUGUGAGCAACAGCUGGUGCAAUUUAUGGACGAAGAGAGUGCAGUGGUUAAUCUGCUCAAUUCUAUGACUGUUAAGGGAAUGUCAACUUUAUUAAUAUUUUAUUUGGUGAAAAGCACGUUUCUCACCUUGCUAUAUGGAUUGUAAUAUUCUUUAUGAUAUUUUAAAACAUGUUGUUGUUAGUUACUGUCAAGUUGACUUUGGCUCAUAGAAACUCUAUGGGGCAUUUCUACUCUGUCCUAUAGGGUCGCUAUGAGUCGGAAUUGACUCAGCGGCACUGGGUUUUAACCUUAUAUAUGACAGAAAGAAACAUGAACAUAUAUAAGUCAAAUUCUGUGCUUUUAAUAAUCAUUAAAGACAAAUCUGGUCUCAUUGUAAUAUCCCUUCCAUUGCUUUCACCCAUCCAGAAAUCAGAAACAGGUCCAUUUAAACUGCCGUCUAUUUUUCAUUGAUUUUCUUUUUCUAUUUAGUUCUUUAAUCUAUCAGGAGUUUAUUUCAAAAUAUGAUGUGAAGUAUUUAUUUUAUAUCUCUUUCCCUAUUUCUGAUGUGUCCUUCAUCAUGUAAGAAUUUCCCAAUAAAGCAGGCCUGCUCCUCUGUUCCACAACUCAUCUGUGAAUUUGCCUGACUGUAGUGGCUUGUGUGUUGCUGUGAUGCUAGAAGAUAUGCCACCGGUAUUUCAAAUACCAGCAGGGUCAUCCAUGGUGGUCAGGUUUCAGUGGAGCUUCCAAACUAAGAUAGACCAGGAAGAAGGACCUGGCAGUCUACUUCUGAAAAAAAAAAUAUUGGCCAGUGAAAAUCUUAUGAAUAGCAGCAGAACAUUGUUUGAUAUAGUGCUGGAAGAUGAGCCCCUCAGGUUAGAACACACUCAAAAUACGACUGGGAAGAACUGCCUCUUCAGAGUAGAGCUGACAUUAAUGACAUGGAUAAACCUUUCAUUUGAUGAUGUGGCACGAAUCAAAAUGAGAAGAAACAGCUGCAAACAUCCGUUAAUAAUCGGAACAUGAAAUGCACAAAGUAUGAAUCUAGGAAAAUUGGAAGUAAUCAAAAAUGAAAUGAAAUGCAUAAACAUUGAUAUCCCAGGCAUAAGUGAGCAGAAAUGGACUGGUAGUGGCCAUUUUGAAUUGGAUAAUUGUAUGGUCUACUACACUGGAAAUGACAAAUUGAAGAGGAAUGGUGUCACAUUCAUUGUCAAAAAGAACAUUUCAAGAUCUAUCCUGAAGUACAAGGCUGUCAGUGAUAGGUUAAUAUCCACAUGCCUACAAGGAAGACCAGUUAAUAUGACUAUUAUUCAAAUUUACCCAACAACCACAAAAGCCAAAGAUGAAGAAAUUAAAAAAUUUUUACCAACUUCUGCAGCCUGAAAUUGAUCAAACAUGCAAUCGAGAUGCAUUGAUAAUUACUAGUGAUUGGAAUGCAAAAGUUGGAAACAAAAAAGGACUGGUAGUUGGAAAAUACGGCCUUGGUGAUAGAAACAAUGCUGGAAAUUGCAUGACAGAAUUUUGCAAGACCAACAACUUCUUCAUUGCAAAAACCAUUUCUCAACAACAAAAAAAGUGACUAUAGGGAGGGGCCAAGAUGGCUGACUAGGUAGAAGCUACCUCAGAUCCCUCUUGCAACAAAGACUUGGAAAAACAAGUGAAUCAAUCACAUACAUGACAAUCUAUGAACCCUGACCAUCAAACACAGAUCUAAAGACUUGACCUGAGUGACAGAGACUGAGAACAAACAACCACGGGGAAGCAGCGACUGUUUUCAGAGCCUGGAGCCAGCGUUCCAGUCAGAAAACCUUGGCACCAGGCUUUGGACUAGGCGCAGGGAAGCUGAACAUGGCAUCCUGUGACGGGGCAAACACGGGACGCAGCCCUACCCCCCAGAAUUGACCUCGGGGGAAGCCCAUCCAGUGCACGCAGGCAGCGCAGCGACGUGGCUGACAGGAGGAGAAGUCACUGGGAGGCAGCGACUGGUUUUGGAGCCGGGAGUGUGGCGUCCCAGCCGGGGAACCUUGGCGCUGGGCUUUGGAUUGGGAGCAGAGGAACUGACCACGGCUUCUGAGACAGCACAAGCACAGGACGUGGGCCUGACCCUCGGAGGCAAUCUCUACCCAGCCAACACACACAGGCUACAUACCCCUCGGGAAUCUCAGAUAAAACAGUCAUCCAAGCAAGAUAAGUAACUUUGUCUAUAUUCCGGUGUGCUACUUUCUCCUAUUUAUCUGAACCCUCCCCUCCCCUUCCCAGGCGGCUUCAUUAACAUUGGAAUUUCCUGAGCCAGAGAGUGAACUACGCCAUGGUUUUUCUUUUUUUUGGUCUUUUCCUAACCCAUUCUCCUGGCUUGAGAGAAGCAGCUACAAAAAACCCAGGGACCAAAAAUCCUUCCCUAAUUGAACUAAAAACACAGAACCAGCUCCAGCCAAGCACAUGUGAUCCACAGUCUUGGGCUUUCAUCCCUACAGGGAAGAGGUGGCGAUUAUAAUGCAAAGGCAUUUCUGAUAGGGAUCUGACCGUAAUUGUUUUAGCAGAUUACUGAAAAGACAAGUUUCCCAGGUCUGAUAUCUCUGCGUAUUCAACAGAGACCUCACUGACCCACAACAGGGAACUGAGGGCUGAAGCUCCCCCUAGACCACCUAGCCUCCAGCCUUAGGGGUGUAAGGAGGGUGACACCUACCAAUCUGUAGAGGUACUUGCAUUGGGGGCCUAACGUACAGCUGCAGAGCCCGCCCACCAAAGUGCUUUAGGAAUAGAGACACACCUACCUCACUGGCACUUGGGGGAAGCCUGUCAGCAUCAUGCCCCCCCGCCGGAGUGUGAACCCCUGCUGCUACUAGAAUCUGGUGCACACAGCUAUCACCACUACUUCUCUAGGUGGAUAGGUGACAGUCUGCACUACACACUUGGUGACCCAAAAUCAGAUUCUACUCAAGAAUAGUGAAUGGACUCUUAGGCUUAUAUAUCUGGUAACAGCCCAAACCAGCUGGUAAUAGGACUUAAGUGAUUCAAGGGCUACAACAAUCAAGACAGCGCAAUCUAGUAGCCCAUCUACGUAUAUUGAAAGAAAACAAGAUAAGACUCAGUGAGCAAAUAUAGAAUAAAUCCCUACAACAUCUUAGAGAUGGCUCAGAGACAGCAGUCAAUAUCAAAGCACAUAAAGAAGCAGACCAUGAUUGCUUCUACAACUCCCCAAAUUAAAGGAUCAAAAUCUUUCCCAAAUGAAGAUAUGAUCCUGGAAUUGCCAGAUACAGAAUAUAAAAAACUAAUUUACAGAAUGCUUCAAGACAUCAGGGAUGACCUCAGAAAUGAAAUAAUGCAAUCUACAGAAAAAGCCAAGGAACACACUGAUAAAGCAGUUGAAGAACUCAAAAAGAUUAUUCAAGAACAUAGUGGAAAAAUUAAUAAGUUGCAUGAAUCCAUAGAGAGACAGCAUUCAGAAAUCCAAAAGAUUAACAAUAAAAUUACAGAAUUAGACAAUGCAAUAGGAAGUCAGAGGAGCAGACUUGAGCAGUUGGAAUGCAGAGUGGGAAAUCUGGAGGACUAGGGAAUUGACACCAAUAUAGCUGAAAAAAAUCAGAUAAAAGAAUUAAAAAAAAUGAAGAAACCCUAAGAAUCAUGUGGGACUCUAUCAAGAAGAAUAACUUGCAUGUGACUGGAGUCUCAGAACAGGGAGGGAUAUCAGAAAACACAGAGAGAAUAGUUGAAGAUCUGUUGGCAGAAAACUUCCCGGACAUCAUGAAAGAUGAAAGGAUAUCUAUCCAAGAUGCUCAUCGAACCCCAUUUAAGAUUGAUCCAAAAAGAAAGUCACCAAGACAUAUUAUCAUCAAACUUGCCAAAACCAAAGAUAAAGAGAAAAAUUUAAAAGCAGCCAGGGAUAAAAGAAAGGUCUCCUACAACGGAGAAUCAAUAAGAAUAAGUUCAGACUACUCAGCAGAAACCAUGCAGGCAAGAAGGCAAUGGGAUGACAUAUAUAGAGCACUGAAGGAGAAAAACUGCCAGCCAAGGAUCAUAUAUCCAGCAAAACUCUCUCUAAAAUAUAAAGGCGAAAUUAAAGUAUUUACAGAUAAACACAAGCUUAGAGAAUUUGCAAAAACCAAAUCAAAGCUACAAGAAAUAUUAAAGGAAAUUGUUUGGUCAGAAAACCAAUAAUAUCAGAUACCAGUACAACACAAGGUCACAGAACAGAACAUCCUGAUAUCAACUAAAAUAGGGAAAUCACAAAAACAAAUUAAGAUUAAUUUUAAAAAGAAACAAAUGCUCAAAACAGGGAAUCAUUGAGGUCAAUACGUAAAAGAUUACAAUAAUCAAAAAGAGGGACUAAAUACAGGUGGCAUAGAACUGCCAUAUGGAGAGGGAUACAAGGCGAUAUAGGACAAUACAAGUUAGGUUUUCACUUAGAAAAAUAGGGGUAAAUAUUAAGGUAACCACAAAGAGGUAUAACAACUCCAUAACUCAAAAUAAAAACCAAGAAAAACUCAGCAAACAUAAAGUCAAAUACUAUGAAAAUGAGGAACACACAAUUUACAAAGAAAAACGUCUCAGCACAAGAAAGUAAGUGGAAAAAUGAAAUUGUCAACAACACACAUAAAAAGGCAUCAAAAUGACAGCACUAAACACAUACUUAUCUAUAAUUACGCUGAAUGUAAAUGGACUAAAUGCACCAAUAAAGAGACAGAGAGUCUCAGACUGGAUAAAGAAACACGAUCCGUCUAUAUGCUGCCUACAAGAGACACACCUUAGACUUAGAGACACAAACAAACUAAAACUCAAAGGAUGGAAAAAAAUAUAUCAAGCAAACAAUAAGCAAAAAAGAGCAGGAGUAGCAAUAUUAAUUUCUGACAAAACAGACUUCAAAGUUAAAUCCACCACAAAAGAUAAAGAAGGACACUACAUAAUGAUUAAAGGGACAAUUGACCAAGAAGAUAUAACCAUAUUAAAUAUUUAUGCACCCAAUGACAGGGCUGCAAGAUACAUAAAACAAAUUUUAACAGAACCGAAAAGUGAGAUAGACACCUCCACAAUUAUAGUAGGAGACUUCAACACACCACUUUCGGAGAAGGACAGGACAUCCAGUAAGAAGCUCAAUAGAGACACGGAAGACCUAAUUGCUACAAUCAACCAACUUGACCUCAUUGACUUAUACAGAACUCUCCACCCAACUGCUGCAAAGUAUACUUUUUUUUCCAGCGCACAUGGAACAUUCUCUAGAAUAGACCACAUAUUAGGUAAUAAAACAAACCUUUGCAGAAUCCAAAACAUCGAAAUAUUACAAAGCAUGUUCUCAGACCAUAAGGCCAUAAAAGUGGAAAUCAGUAACAGAAAAAUUAGGGAAAAGAAAUCAAAUAGUUGGAAGCUGAACAAUACCCUGCUCCAAAAAGACUGGAUUAUAGAAGACAUUAAGGAGGGAAUAAAGAAAUUCAUAGAAUGCAACGAAAAUGAAAAUACUUCCUAUCAAAACCUCUGGGACACAGCAAAAGCAAUGCUCAGAGGUCAAUUUAUAUCAAUAAAUGCACACAUACAAAAAGAAGAAAGAGCCAAAAGCAGAGAACUGUCCCUACAACUUGAACAAAUAGAAAGUGAGCAACAAAAGAACCCAUCAGGCACCAGAAGAAAACAAAUAAUAAAAAUUAGAGCUGAACUAAAUGAAUCAGAGAACAGAAAAACAAUUGAAAGAAUUAACAAAGCCAAAAGCUGGUUCUUUGAAAAAAUUAACAAAAUUCAUAAACCAUUGGCCAGACUGACUAAAGAAAUACAAGAAAGGAAACAAAUAACCCAAAUAAGAAACAAGAUGUGCCACAUCACAACAGACCCAACUGAAAGUAAAAGAAUCAUAUCAGAUUAUUAUGAAAAAUUGUAUUCUAAGAAAUUUGCAAACCUAGAAGAAAUGGAUGAAUUCCUAGAAAAACACUACCUACCUAAACUAACACAAUCAGAAGUAGAACAACUAAAUAGACCCAUAACAAAAAAAGAGAUUGAAACGGUAAUCAAAAAACUUCCAACAAAAAAAAAGCCCUGGCCCGGAUGGCUUUACUGCAGAGUUCUACCAAACGUUCAGAGAAGAGUUAACACCACUACUACUAAAGGUAUUUCAAAGCAUAGAAAAUGACGGAAUACUACCUAACUCAUUCUAUGAAGCUGCCAUAUCCCUGAUACCAAAACCAGGUAAAGACAUCACAAAAAAAAAGAAAAUUACAGACCUAUAUCCUCAUGAACAUAGAUGCAAAAAUCCUCAACAAAAUUCUAGCCAAUAGAAUUCAACAACAUAUCAAAAAAAAAAAUAAUCCACCACGACCAAGUGGGAUUUAUACCAGGUAUGCAAGGCUGGUUAAUAUUAGAAGAACCAUUAAUGUAAUCCACCAUAUAAAUAAAACAAAAGACAAAAACCACAUGACCUUACCAAUUGAUGCAGAAAAGGCAUUUGACAAAGUCCAACACCCAUUUAUGAUAAAAACUCUUACCAAAAUAGGAAUUGAAGGAAAAUUCCUCAACAUAAUAAAGGGCAUCUAUACAAAGCCAACAGCCAACAUCACUCUAAAUGGAGAGAGCCUGAAAGCAUUUCCCUUGAGAAUGGGAACCAGACAAUGAUGCCUUUUAUCACCACUCUUAUUCAACAUUGUGCUAGAGGUCCUAGCCAGAGCAAUUAGGCUAGACAAAGAAAUAAAGGGUAUCCGGAUUGGCAAGGAAGAAGUAAAAUUAUCUCUAUUUGCAGAUGACAUGAUCUUAUACACAGAAAAUCCUAAGGAAUCCUCCAGAAAACUACUGAAACUAAUAGAAGAGUUUGUCAGUCUCAGGUUAUAAGAUAAACAUACAAAAAUCACUUGGAUUCCUCUACAUCAACAAAAAGAACAUCGAAGAGGAAAUCACCAAAUCAAUACCAUUCACAGUAGCCCCCAAGAAGAUAAAAUACUUAGGAAUAAAUCUUACCAAAGAUGUAAAAGACCUAUAUGAAGAAAACUACAAAGUACUACUACAAGAAACUAAAAAGGACCUACUUAAGUGGAAAAACAUACCUUGCUCAUGGAUAGGAAGAUUUAACAUAGUAAAAAUGUCUAUUCUACCAAAAGCCAUCUAUACAUACAAUGCACUUCUGAUCCAAAUCCCAAUGUCAUUUUUUAAUGUGAUGGAGAAACAAAUCACCAACUUCACAUGGAAGGGAAAGAAGCCUCGGAUAAGUAAAGCAUUACUGAAAAAGAAGAAGAAAGUGGGAGGCCUCACUCUACCUGAUUUUAGAACCUAUUAUACAGCCACAGUAGUCAAAACAGCCUGGUACUGGUACAACAACAGGCACAUAGACCAAUGGAACAGAAUUGAGAACCCAGAUAUAAAUCCAUCCACAUAUGAGCAGCUGAUAUUUGACAAAGGCCCAGUGUUAGUUAAUUGGGGAAAAGACAGUCUUUUUAACAAAUGGUGCUGGCAUAACUGGAUAUCCAUUUGCAAAAAAAUGAAACAGGACCCAUACCUCACGCCAUGCACAAAAACUAAUUCCAAGUGGAUCAAAGACCUAAACAUAAAGACUAAAAUGAUGAAGAUCAUGGAAGAAAAAAUAAGGACAACGUUAGGAGCCCUAAUAAAAGGCAUAAACAGAAUACAAAAUAUUACCAAAAAUGUUGAACAGAAACCAGAUAAGUGGGAGCUCCUAAAAAUCAAACACCUAUGCUCAUCUAAAGACUUCACCAAAAGAGUAAAAAGACCACCUACAAAUUGGGAAAGAAUUUUCAGCUAUGACAUCUCUGACCAGCACCUGAUCUCUAAAAUCUACAUGAUUCUGUUAAAACUCAACCACAAAAAGAUAAACAACCCAAUCCAAAAGUGGGCAAAGGAUAUGAACACGCACUUCACUAAAGAAGAUAUUCAGGCAGCUAACAGAUACAUGAGAAAAUGCUCUCGAUCAUUAGCCAUUAGAGAAAUGCAAAUUAUACUACGAUGAGAUUCCGUCUCACUCCAACAAGGCUGGCAUUAAUCCAAAAAACACAAAAUAAUAAAUGUUGGAGAGGCUGCAGAAAGAUUGAAACUCUUAUAUACUGCUGGUGGGAGUGUAAAAUGGUACAACCACUUUGGAAAUCUAUCUGGCGUUUUCUUAAAAAGUUAGAAAUAGAACUACCAUUAAAAAAAAAAAAAGCUUUUUUUUUUUUUUACAACCCAGAAAUCCCACUCCUUGGAAUAUACCCUAGAGAAAUAAGAGCCUUCACACGAACAGAUAUAUGUACUCCCAGGUUUAUUGCAGCUCUGUUUACAAUAGCAAAAAGCUGGAAGCAACCAAGGUGUCCAUCAACGGAUGAAUGGUUAAAUAAAUUGUGGUAUAUUCACACAAUGGAAUACUACGCAUCGAUAAAGAACAGUGACGAAUCUGUGAAACAUUUCAUAACAUGGAGGAACCUGGAAGGCAUUAUGCUGAGUGAAAUUAGUCAGAUGCAAAAGGACAAAUACUGUAUAAGACCACUAUUAUAAGAUCUUGAGAAAUAGUAUAAACUGAGAAGAACACAAACUUUUGUGGUUACGAGGGGAGGAGGGAGGGAGAGUGGGAGAGGGUUAUUUACUGAUUAGUUAGUAGAUGAGAACUACUUUAGGUGAAGGGAAGGACAAUACUCAAUACAUGGAAGCUCAGCUCAACUGGACUGGACCAAAAGCGAAGAAGUUUCCGGGAUAAAAUGAAUGCUUCAAAGGAGCAAGGGCGGGGGUUUGGGGACUAUGGCUUAAGGGGACUUCUAAGUCAGUUGGCAAAAUAAUACUACUAUGAAAACAUUCUGCAUCCUACUUUGAAAUGUGGCGUCUGGGGUCUUAAAUGCUAACAAGCAGCCAUCUAAGAUGCAUCAAUUGGUCUCAACCCACCUGGAUCAAAGGAGAAUGAAGAACACCAAGGUCACACGAUAACUAUGAGCCCAAGAGACAGAAAGGGCCACAUGAACCAGAGACUUACAUCAUCCUGAGACCAGAAGAACUAGAUGGUGCCCGGCCACAACCGAUGACUGCCCUGACAGGAAGCACAACAGAGAACCCCUGAGGGAGCAGGAGAUCGGUGGGAUGCAGACCCCAAAUUCUCAUAAAAAGACCAGACUUAAUGGUCUGACUGAGACUAGAAGAAUCCUGGUGGUCACGGUCCCCAAACCUUCUGUUGGCCCAGGACAGGAACCAUUCCCGAAGACAACUCAUCAGACAUGGAAGGGACUGGACAACGGGUUGGAGAGAGAUGCUGAUGAAGAGUGAGCUACUUGUAUCAGGUGGACACUUGAGACUGUGUUGGCUUCUCUUGUCUGGAGGGCAGAGAGGGUUAGAAACUGGCAAAAUUGUCAUGAAAGGAGAGACUGGAAGGGCUGACUCAUUACGGGGAGAGUAAGUGGGAGUAUGGAGUAAGAUGUAUAUAAGUUUAUAUGUGAUAGACUGACUUGAUUUGUUCACUUGAGCUCAAUAAAAAUUAUUAAAAAACAAAAACAAAACAGUGACUAUACAUUUGGACCUCAUCUGAUGGAAUACACAGGAAUCAAAUUGACUACAUAUGUGGAAAGAGACAAUGGGAGAAGCUCAAUAUUACCAGUCAGAACAAGGCUAGGAGCUGACUGCAGAACAGACCAUCAAUUUCUCACAUGCAAGUUCAAGUUGAAGCUGAAGAAAAUUACAGCAAGUCCACAAAAGUCAAAGUACGACCAUGAGCAUAUCCCACCUGAGAGAGGUGGGGUCAAGAUGGCGGAGUAGUCAGAGACUUCUUGUGGUCCCUCUUAAAACAAAAACUGAAAAAACAAGUGAAUCAUUUUUGUAUUACAAGCUAGAAGCCCUGAAUGUCAAAGGAAAAAUUGAGGAAUUGGACUGAGCAGCAGUCAGAGGGAGAAACAGUUCAGAAGCAGCGAGGAGUUGCCAGACCCGACCCAGCAGGAACUGGCACCCCUCAGGCCAUUUUCACUGGGGCGAGCAUGGUGAGGCAAGCAGAGGCAUUCAGGAUGCUUUUUCCACAUCGGGAGAGGUCAAAUGGUGGAGAGUCUGCUCAACGCUCCAAAACAAACGAGAAGUGACCCUCAAUCGACAAAUGAUAAGUACUUGCAUUUAACCUACCACAAUCCCAAAAUAUACCCCUUUGGGAAAAUCUCUCUCCCACUUACCUUUUCCCUUCCCACUUUGUGCUGUGUCCCAGCUGACUACAUCCCCUGGGCUAAAACAAGGACCCUGCACUCGCCCUGAGCCAUUCUCCUGUUGGAGAGAGACCAAAUUAAUAAACAUGGGAAAAAUAAUCUGCCAGCUCCCCUAAACUGGGAACUCAGAGCAGAAACAGCUCCUUUGUCUAGGCACAGGCAUAAGGGGUCCACAGACUUUGAAUGCCUUUCACCACUGUAUAGAACUGUGUGGGCUCAUUUCAACAGUGUAGGCCCUCAUUAGCACAGUGCGACAGGGUAUAUACCUUGAGUCUAACUUCAACUGUUUCAGCUACGUGCUGGGGAGGCAGGUUUGUAUCAUUUGACAUCGCUCUGCCUAUUAUGUAGGGUCCUCACCUACACACAUCAGGGGCCUGAGGACUGGUGACUCCACUCAUGACACCUAGCCACCCAUGACAGGGGUCCAAGAAUAAGUGGUGCCUCCCAGUCCUUACAGCCAACAGCAUUGGGUACCCACAGUCCAGCUGCAAAACGUACCCACCUAUGUGCUCCAGGGAACAGGGACAUACUUUCCUCACAGACACCCAGGAGCAGGUGCCAGCCCUGUGCCUUCCUCAGCGUGUGACCCCCCUGCUUCAGCCAGAUACCUGUGCCUACGCCAAUCACCCUUGCUUGCCUAGGACUGUAGGUGAGAGCCUGCACCACACACUUGGUGACUGACUAUCUGGAUACCUGAGCUGAAUCCAUACAAGAAAAGUGAAUGGACUCCUGGGUUCAUAUACCUAGUAUCAACUGUAACCACCAAGUGACAGGAUGUUAGAGCUUCAAAGGCACCAAUAAUCAAACUAGCUCACUCGAGAAGCCUAUUUGGGCAUAUCAAAACAAAACAAAACAAAACAAGAAGCUAGGACAAAGUAAGCAAACAUAAAAUAAAUUAAUACAAUAACUUAUUGACGGCUUGGAGACAACAGUCAAUAUCAAAUCACAUGAAGAGGCAGAACACAAUGGCUUCAGUGAGCUCCCAAAACAAAGAAUCAAGAAAUCUUCCAGAUGAAGAUAAUUUCUGGAAUUACUGGAGGUAGAGUACAAAAGAUUAAUAUUCAGGACUCUUCAAAGGAUCAGGAAGGAGAUCAGGCAAAAUGAAGAACAAGCCAAGGAACACACAGACAAAGCAUUAGAGGAACUUAAACAGACUAGACAAGAACAUAAUGACAAAAUUUAUAGGCUGCAAGAAUCCAUAGAGAGACAGCAAACAGGAAUUCAGAAGAUUACCAAUAAAAUUUCAGAUUUAGACAAUUCAAUAGUAUAUCCCACCGGAACUUAUAGACCAACUCAAGAACAGAUUUGAUGCAUUGAACGCUAAUGACCAAAGAUCAGGCAAGUUGUGAAAUGACAUCAAGGACAUUAUACAUGAAGAAAGCAAAAGGUCAUUAAAAAGACAAGAAAGAAAGAAAAGACCAAAAUGGAUGUCAGAAGAGAUUGUGAAACUUGCUCUUGAACGAGGAAUAGCUAAAGCAAAAGGAAGAAAUGAUGAAGCAAAAGAGCUGAACAGAAGAUUUCAAAAGGCAGCUUGAGAAAACAGAGUAAAGUAUUACAAUGAAAUGUGGAAAGAUCUGGAGUCAGAAAACCAAAAGGGAAGGACACACUCAGCAUUUCUAAAACUGAAAGAACUGAAGAAAAAAUUCAAGUCUUGAGUUGCAAUAUUGAAGGAUUCUAUGGGCAAAAUACUGAAGGAUGCAGGAAGCAUCCAAAGAAGAUGGAAGGAAUACACAGAGUCAGUCGAUGUUCAACCAUUUCAAGGACAUAGCAUAUGAUCAAGAACCAAUAGUACUGAAGGAAGAAGUCCAAGCUGCACUGAAGGGAAUGGCAAAAAACAAGGCUCCAGGAAUUGAUGGAAUGCCAACUGAGAUGUUUCAACAAAAGGAUGCAAUGCUGGAAGUGUUCAUUCAUUCGUCUAUGCCAAGAAAUUGGGAAGACAGCUACCUGGCCAACCGACUGGAACAGAUCCAUAUUUGUGCCCAUUCCAAAGAAAAGUGAUCCAAUAGAAUGUGGAAAUUAUUGAACAAUAUCAUAGGCAAGUAAAAUUUUGCUGAAGAUCAUUCAAAAGUGGUUGCAGAAGUACAUCGACAAGGAACUGCCAGAAUUCAAGCCAGAUUCAGAAGAGGACGGAGGACGUGGAAGUAGAGAUAUCACUGCUGAUGUCAGAUGGAUCUUGGCUGAAUGCAGAGAAUAACAGAAAGAUGUUUACCUGUGCAAAGCUGACCUAUGCAAAGGUAAACAUCGAGUGUGUGGAUCAUAACAAAUUAUGGAUAACAUUGUGAAGAAGGGAAUUCCAGAACACUUAAUUGUGCUCAUGAGGAACCUUUACGUAGAUCAGGAGGCAGUCAUUCAAAAAGAACAGGGGGAUACUGCUUGGUUGUAUCCUUUCACUAUACUUAUUCAAUCUGUUUGCGGAGCAAAUGAUCUGAGAAGCUGGAUUAUAUGAAGAAGAACGAGAAAUCAGGAUGGAGGAAGACUCAUUAACAACCUGUGAUAUGCAGAUGAUACAACCUUCCUUGCAGAAAGUGAAGAGGACUUGAAGCACUUAUUAAUGAAGAUCAAAGACCACAGCCUUCAGUAUGGACUGCACUGCAAAAUAAAGCAAACAAAAAUCCUAACAACUGGACCAAUGACCAACAUCAUGAUAAACAGAGAAAAGAUUGAAGUUGUCAAGGAUUUCAUUUUACUUGGAUCCACAAUCAACAGCCAUGGAAGCAGCAGUCAAGAAAUCAAAAGAUGCAUUGCAUUGGGUAAAUCUGCUGCAAAGGACCUCUUCAAAGCGUUGAAGAGCAAAGAUGUCACCUUGAAGACUAAGGUGCUCCUGACCCAAGCCAUGUUAUUUUCAAUUACAUCAUAUGCAUGUGAAAGCUAGACAAUUAAUAAUGAAGACUGAAGAAGAAUUGACGCCUUUGAAUUGUGGUGUUGGUGAACAAUAUUGAAUAUACCAGGGACUGCCAAAAGAACAAACAAAUCUGUCUUAGAAGUACAACCAGAAUGCUCCUUAGAAGCAAGGAUGGUGAGACUGCGUCUUACAUACUUUGGACAUGUUGUCAGGAGGGAUCAGUCCCUGGAGAAGGACAUCAUGCUUGGCAGAGUACAGGGUCAGCAGAAAAGAGGAAGACCCUCAAUGAGGUGGACUGACACAGUGGCUGCAGCAAUGAGCUCAAGCAUAACGAUUGUAAGGAUGGCUCAGGACCGGGCAGUGUUUCGUUCUGUUGUGCAUAGGGUUGCUAUGAGUCAGAACUGACUCGACGGCACCUAGCAACAACAACAACAACAUGUCAAAUAGACAUCACCUGUCUAUCAGUGUGUCUUAUCAUGGUGUUUUGCGUGUUGCUAUGAUACUGGAAGCUAUGCCACCAGUAUUUCAAAUGGCAGCAGGUUUACCUAUGGUGGACAGGUUUCAGUAGAGCUUCCAGACUAAGCUAGAUCAGGAAGAAAAGCCCGACAACCUACUUCUGAAAAUUAGUCAAUGAAAACCACAUGGAUUACAACAGCAUAUUGUCCAAUAUAGUUCUGGAAAAUGAGCCCCUAGGUAGGAAUAUGUUCAAAAUACACAGUGGCCGCAACAAUGGACUCGAGAGUACCAACAAUCGUAAAGAUGGCACAGGACUGGGCAACGUUUUGUUCUGCCGUACAUGGUGUUGCCAGCAGUCAGAGCCAACUUCACGUCAGCUAACGGCAACAUAGCAAAUAGAUUUACUUUGUUCAUGUUUUCUCAUAGUUUCAGAGGCCAACAGAUAUGUAAUGCAUAUCUUCGUUGAGGCUGAUCAAUGAUCAUGAGUAGACCAAGAACAUUCAUAUUGGAGCGAGUGAUAUAUCCCUAUUCAAAUGCAGAUGCUCUAAGUGCUAGAGACACAGUUAACAGAGUCUCAUUUUAACACAGGAAAUGUUGGUUUGUUUCCCUUUCCUGAGGGCAAGGCAGGGGCACCCGCACCCAGUUUGCAGCUCACUAUGCAGACAGCAAGGCCUCCUUAUCUAUAAAUAACAUCGGUGAAGUUUACAGUCAGAGAGAAAAUUGAGGUUUUUUUUUCUGCUAGUCUUUCAAAUGAAAUAUAAGCAAGAUUAUGAUGAGAACAGUGGUGACGGGAGCAGAAAGGGAAGGGUGCAAGCAUUUGAAUAUUUUUUGUUUUUCUCUUUAACUUAAGAGAACCCCUUAAUGGUUAACUCAUACCGUAGAAAUGUACGGGUUUAAAUUCUCCCUGGUUUUUCAAAAGGGGAUAGUUGGUUUGGGGAGCGUGUAGACAGAGAACCUUUAUUAACUAUGUCUGAACUAUUUGACGCUAGCUAGCUCUGUGAUUUUUGAAAAGUCAUUUGAGGUACAAGGCUUAAGCACUGAAGAUCUUCUCAUCUUGGCUAGAAGAUGAUAACGUUCUUCUCUAAGGUUCCUGGGCCCUCUGCUCUUCGUUCUGUGUUAUGCUGCAUACAUCCUUUGACGUGAAGAAUUGAAAACCGCCUAUUGGAACGCAUGAAUACAAUCCUCCACCUCCAGUCACUCUCCAAAUCUCAUCUGAUCUUUUUCCUUAAAGUAACAGACAAAUGUUGUAGUGUGAUUUUGUUGUAGAGUCCCAGAAAUAGCUGGUAUAAAGCGGGAGUAGCUGUAUUGGUGAUGGGGGACUAAUGUAUUAAUUGCCAAGUAACAGGCAUAGUAGAGGCAUUGGUGGUUCGGUGGUAGAAUUCUUGACUUCCGCGAGGAAGACCUGGUUUGGUUCCUGGCCAGUGCACCUCAUAUGCAGCCACGACCUAUCUCUCAGUGGAGGCUUGCGUGUCGCUGUGAUACUGAACAGGUUUCAACGGAGAUUCCAGACCUAGAUGGACUCGGAAGAAAGGCCUGGAGAUCUACUUCUGAAAAACCAGAAAAUGAAAACCCUACGGAUUACAACCAAUCUGUUGUGCAUGGGGUUGCCAUGAGUUGGGGCACCUAAGGGUAACAAUAAACAUCGUAGUUGCAAUUACAUACCCGGAAAUGUGCUGCGAAUUGUGUAGAAGAGAGGGAGAUUCCUCACUGGGGUAUUUCCAUAUCUAUCCUAGGGCAUUGUAAUGCUAGUAGUUCUUGCCAACUUUCUCUGCAAGGUGUGACUUCCAUGGCCACUCCUAGGAGGUAUUUAUCAAAUGUCUCGACAACUAUCUGUCUGCCCACAGGUAACAUAGCCUUCAUACACUGUCAUCUGGCCACAUCUCCCUCUUCUUAACAGCACCAACACCCUGUCAUUUUGAUAUGACCACUGGGUCCGUGUACUUACCUCCAACAACACCACUGUGCUUUUCCUGAACAACUGGUGUGCAGUAAGAAAGUGAGAAGACAGAGAUAAGUUGAGAGAAGAACUGUUAAGCAAAAAAUACCCCAGGUCUUCAUGAUGUGGAAAAUUCUCAGCCUCUCCAGAUGAUGCUAAAUAUGCUAAAAUUAAAAGCCUCUCCACCUGGCCAUGAAUAAGUAAGCCACCAUGAGUCUACAGCUUCCAGGAAAUUCAUUUUGGCAACAACCUUGUGAGCUUGGAAGAGGAUCUUAGCCUCAGAUGAGAUCACAGCCCAGCCGACACCUUGACUGCAGCCUUGUGAGACCCUGAGUAGAACACCCAGCUGUGCUCUACCUGGACUUCUGAUCUACAGAAACUACGAGAUAAUAAAUGUAUUUUGUUUCACCUGUCAAGUUUGUGGUAAUUUGUUACGCAGCAAUAGAAAACAAAUUCACAUACCUUAGGACUCUACAGUUUACACACUGAUCAUGCCAUUGUUGAAGAGUAAACAAACCCAAGCUUAGGACAUAUGAUCAUAAUUUAUUAUGUUUAUAAUAAAGAAGUAGUAUUUUGAGAUCCUUUUGGGAUUAUUAUCUCAGAAAAGUAAUAUGGAAUAAUUUAGGAUUUCUGAAUAUAUCAGCAGAAAACCACAAACCAUCCAAGAUAUAUACUUGGAUUUAAACCUCCAGGGAUGAUUUUUACUGCCAAAGAGAGUACAAAUUUUACCAGUGAUGGAAUAGUUUAGAAGCACACAAAUAUUUCAACUACCGUUUCAGAUGGACAAUCUUAGAUACUAAGAGAGAGGUGUGUGGGCUGGUGCUAGAAGUGGCACUCACCUGUGCUUCACCCAGGUGUCAGACUCAUUGGCUCGCUCCGUGUAGUUCUCAGGUAGGAAGCCUCGGCAGCCCGUCCACCGCGAGAUCCCAAUCACCCAGCCUUCACUGGCUUCCUCCUGAUGAGUUGGGUCCACAAAGAUGUAGUCGCCAGGACUUAGCAUCAGCUCAUCCAUGUUCUGGGGUUUAUACUGGAAUAUGGCCCUCAAGGUCUAGAAAAGAAGAAAUGUCUUUUCAUGUCUCAAGGAAAAAUUUGUGUUGGGAAAUGAUAGCAAUUGCUGUUGUUGACGGCUGUCCAGUUGACCUCUUCCUCAUGGCAGCCCCAUGCACAAUGAAAUGAAAUGCUGCCCAGUCCUGUGCCAGUCGCAUGAUCACUUAUAGAUUGGGCUGUUGUGUUCUAUAGGCUGAUUUUUUUAGAAGUAGGUCACCAGGCCUUUCUUCCUAGUUCAUCUUUGUCUGGAAACUCCACUGAAGCCCUUUUAGCAUUGUGAUUGAUUGAAUUGUGUCACCCCUAAAAUAUGUGUAGUAAAUUCUAACCUCUAUGCCUAUAGUUUUUUUGGGGGUGGGGGUUUAUGCCUAUAGUUACAUAGACCAAGAAGCAGUCAUUCAAACAGAAUGAGGGGAUACUACAUGGUUUAAAGGAGGAACGGUGUGUGUCAGGGUUGUAUCCUUUCACCGUAUUUAUUCAAUCUGUGUGCUAAGCAAAUAAUCCAAGAAGCUGGACUAUAUGAAGAACAGGGCAUCAGGAUUGGAGGAAGACUCAUUAACAACCUGCGUUAUGCAGGUGACACAACCUUGCUUGAUGAAAGUGAAGAGGACUUGAAGUACUUACUGAUGAGGAUCAAAGCACAGCCUUCAGUAUGGAUUGCACCUCAACAUAAAGAAAACAAAAGUCCUCACCACUGGACCAACAAGCAACACCAUGAUAAAUGGAGAAAAGAUUGAAGUUGUCAAGGAUUUCAUUUUACUUGGAUCCACAAUCAACAGCCAUGGAAGCAGCAGUCAAGAAAUCAAAGGAUGCAUUGCAUUAGGCAAAUCUGCUGUAAAAGACCUCUUCAAAGGGUUAAAAAGCUAACAUGUCACCUUGGAGACUAAGGUGCACCUGGCCCAAGGCAUGGCGUUUUCAAUUGCCUCAUAUGCAUACAAAAGCUGGAUAAUGAAUAAGGAAGACCCAAGAAGAAUUGAUGCCUUUGAAUUAUGGUGUUGGCAAAGAAUAUUGAAUAUACUAUAGACUGCAAGAAAAACGAACAAAUCUGUCUUGGAAGAAGUACAGCCAGAAUGCUCCUUAGAAGCAAGGAUGGUGAGACUUCAUCUCACAUACUUUGGACAUGUUAUCAGGAGGGACCAGUCCCUGGAGGAGACAUUAUGCUUGGUAGAGGGUCAGUGAAAAAGUGGAGGACCCUCAAGGGAAUGGAUUGACAGAGUGGCUGUAACAAUAGGCUCAAGCAUAACAACGGUUAUGAGGAUGGUGCCGGACUGGGCAGUGGUUUGUUCUGUUGUACAUAGGGUCACUAUGAGUCGGAACUGACUCAAGGCCACCACCACCAACAACAUGCCUGUGGUUAUAAGCCCAUUUGGGAAUGAGUUGUCUUUGUUAUGUUAAUGAGAAAGGAUUACUGUAGGGUGUGUUUUGAGUCAAUCUCUUUUGAGACACAGAAGAGAUUAAACAAGCAAGUGAGGCAGAGAGAUGCUAAGUCACAGGAGGAUUGCCCAGAUGCAGAAGCACGGAAGAGACAAGGAUCUUCCUCCAGAGCUGGCGGAGAGAGAAAGCCUUUCCUGUGAGCUGGCACCCUGAUUUGGACUUCCAGCCCCCUAAACUAUGAGAAGGAGCCCUGGUGGCGCAGUGGUUAAGGGAUCAGUCACAAACCAAGUUCAGCCGUUGAAAUUCGCCAGCCGCUCCUUGGAAACCCUAUGGGGCAAUUCUACCCGGUCCUAUGAGGUUGCUGUGAUUCACAAUCGACUUGAUGGCAGUGGGGGUUUUGGUAAACUGUAAGAAAAUAAAUUUCUCUUUGUUAAAGCCACCCACUUGUGGCAUUUCUGUUAUAGCAGCACUGGAUAACUAAGACAAGCGUCAUAGCAAGACACAAGCCUCCACUGACAGACAGGCAGUGAGUGUGCAUGAACUGCACUGGCCGGGAAUCGAACCUAGGUCUCCCACAUGCAAGGUGAGAAUUCUACCACUGAACCACGAAUGCCCCCGUGACAGCAAUACAAGCGUUGUUUACAUUUUGCCUGUUGCUUUCAGGAUCCCCUAAUACGUUAUAUGCCUCUAAAACAAGACCUAAGACUUUGUGUAAGAUACAUAACAUGGAAUAUAACAAAAUAUAGCAUAGAAUUCUUUAGGUAGAUUAAAAAAUAAAUUUGGUAGACUUAAAAACCACUGCGUAAGUUCAAGCUGCCAAACUUUAGGUGGUUAUUUUUCUUAGGUGCCAUCAAGUUGAUUCUGACUCAUAGAGACCCUAUAGGACAGAGUAGAACUGCCCCAUAGGGUUUCCAAGGAGCGGCUGGUGGAUUUGAACUGCCAACCUUUUGGUUAGCAGCCAAGCUCUUAACCACUGCACCACCAGGGCUCCACAGGUUAGCAGUCGAAUGCAAACUGUUUGCACCACCCAGGGACAUUUAUAUAAAAGAAUACUUGUUCCAAAUUGCACAAGAAAGCACAUGGUUUUAGAGAAAAUGUAGAAGUUCUGUCUGCUGCAAAAAGCAGCCCAGCAGAGAGCCCCCAGAGAUAAAUACUCUUUUAGGUGAGGGUCAUUCAUGUGGUUUCCGUGGUGAGGAUCCAAUCCAAUCUCACUGACCAGGGUUUCUCCAGCUGAGGCCUCCCGCAUGGUCACCCACCUGGUAGUGUACAAAGCGCAUGUCUCGGGAGUACAGUGCAGCCGUCCAUUGGCAGCCGGGGCUCAGGGGGAUGCCUUUGGCCAGCUGCUCCAGCGUCCUCUGGUGGUGGGGGUAGAACUUGUGGGCCAGUGUCAUGUGGAGCUGCUUGGUGCAGGGUUUCACGGUGCAGUCUGUGAGGUCGGGAAAACACAUGGAGGUUAGGACACCUUCACCUAAACACUCAUGGCUACCGGUCCAGCAAAGGCGGCAGAAAUGAUGUUACACGUGGUGUCUCGGCCUCUCCCCACCCUCCCUCCACUGCACUGCACCUCCUGGCCCAGGGCAAGGACUUGGUCCUGGGCUUCGUGGCCUCUCUCACAGAGUUCGCCUUAUAAAAAGAGCUGGUUAAAGACCUGCAGCUUUCACAAGAAAGUAGGAAAGAGCAAGGACUAGAGAUGUAAGUUUAAGGUCUUUUAAAAUCAGUUUCCAUGGGGUCCAUUUGACUCAUAGCAACUCACGUGUGUCAGAGAAGAACUGUGCUCCACAGAGUUUUCAGUGGCUGAUUUUCCAGAAGUAGGUUGCCAGGCCUUUCUUCCCAGGCACCUCCGGGCAGGUUCAAACCUCUGACCUUUUGGUUAGCAGCUGGGUGUAUUAACUGUUUGUACCACCCACUGACUAAUUUUAGGAUCAAAUCCCCCUUUAUAUUUGGGCAUAUGGUGUCUGACUUACCUAACCAUUUGAUAAAGCCACUCUGGUGUAAGAAGAGUCAAACAACUUGAUUCUAGUCCUAGUUGUGUUACUAGAUACUGAGCCAUUGUGGUCAAGGUACAGCAAAACCGGCCCUCAGUUCUUCAAUGACAAAGUAACCUCUGAUGGUCCUUCCCAUUGUAAAUCUUGAUAUUUUAAAAGUUCAUUAACUGGUCCAGGAGAACUAUAAAACCAGUUGCCAUUGAGUCGGCCCUGAUUUAUAGUGACCCCAUGUGUGUCAGAGUAAAGUUGUACUCCAUAUGGUUUUCAAAGGCUUAUUUUUUGGAAGUAGAUUGCCAGGCCUUUCCUCCAAGGUACUUCUGGGUUGACAUGAACCUCCAAACUUUCAGUUACCAGCUGUCUUAAUCAUCUAGUGCUGCUAUAACAGAAAUACCACAAGUGGAUGGCUUUAUCGAAGAGAAAUUUAUUUUCUCACAGCCUAGUAGGCUAGAAGUCCAAAUUCAGGGUGUCAGCUUCAGGGGAAGGCUUUCUCUCUCUGUUGGCUCUGGAGAAAGGCCCUUGUGAUCAAUCUUCCCCUGGAC